rnacentral:rRNA from 1 species
GUGGGGAAUAUUGGACAAUGGGCGAAAGCCUGAUCCAGCCAUGCCGCGUGUGUGAAGAAGGUCUUCGGAUUGUAAAGCACUUUAAGUUGGGAGGAAGGGCAGUAAGUUAAUACCUUGCUGUUUUGACGUUACCGACAGAAUAAGCACCGGCUAACUUCGUGCCAGCAGCCGCGGUAAUACGAAGGGUGCAAGCGUUAAUCGGAAUUACUGGGCAUAAAGCGCGCGUAGGUGGUUUUGUAAGUUGGAGGUGAAAUCCACGGGCUCAACCUGGGAACUGCCACCAAAACUGCAUGACUAGAGUACGGUCGAGGCUAGUGGAAUUUCCUGUGUAGCGGUGAAAUGCGUAGAUAUAGGAAGGAACACCAGUGGCGAAGGCGACUACCUAGACUGAUACUAACACUGAGGUGCGAAAGCGUGGGGAGCAAACAGGAUUAGAAACCCGAGUAGUCC